AAACCAGGAUUAGAUACCCUAUUAUAAAAAUGUAAAUAUUAAAAUACUUAAAAAUUAUUAGUUAUGGUCUUUAAAUUUAAAAAAUUUGGCGGUAUUUUAGUCUUAUUAGAGGAACCUGUUAUGUAAUUGAUAAUCCACGAUUUAUUUUACUUAUUUUAUUAAUUUAUAUAUCGCUGUCAUGAAUAUAUUUAAAAAUUAAUUUUCUUUUAUUAAUAUUAUAAUUUAUGUUAAGUCAAGAUGUAGUUUAUAAAUGAGUUAUAAAUGGGUUACAUUAAAUUUAAUUUAUGGAUUUGAAAUGAAAAAUUAAAAGGAAAUUGAAUUUAAUAGUAAAUUUAUUUAUUAAA
rnacentral:rRNA from 1 species